GUCGUGGCUCAGUGGUGAGCACUUAGCUAGUAUACAUGAGGCACAGGGUUCAAUCCCCAGCACCACA
rnacentral:tRNA from 1 species